rnacentral:rRNA from 1 species
AGUGAACGCUGGCGGUAGGCCUAACACAUGCAAGUCGAACGGCAGCACAGUAAGAGCUUGCUCUUACGGGUGGCGAGUGGCGGACGGGUGAGGAAUACAUCGGAAUCUACUUUUUCGUGGGGGAUAACGUAGGUAAACUUACGCUAAUACCGCAUACGACCUACGGGUGAAAGGAUGGGAUCUUCUGACCUUGCGCGAUUGAAUGCGCCGAUGUCGGAUUAGAUAGUUGGCGGGGUAAAUGCCCACCAAGGCGACGAUCCGUAGCUGGUGUGAGAGGAUGGUCGGCGACACGAGAACUGGGACACGGUCAAGGGGACUACGAGAGGCAGCAGUGGGGAAUGUGGGACAGUAGGCGCGAGCCUGGUCCAGUCGUACCGAGUGGGUGAAAGAGGCCUUGGGGUUGUAAAGCCCUUUUGUUGGGAGAAAAAAGCAGCAGGUUGAUACCCAGCGGUUCUGACGGUACCCAAUGAAGAAGCACCGGCUAACUUCGUG